rnacentral:misc_RNA from 1 species
AGCAGCCGCGGUAAUUCCAGCUCCAAUAGCGUAUAUUAAAGUUGCUGCAGUUAAAAAGCUCGUAGUUGAAUUUCGGGACCAUCAUGUCGGUCGUGCCUCGGUACGUACUGGCAUUGUUGGUUUCUCCCUUCUGACGAACCAUGAUGUCAUUUAUUUGGUGUCAUGGGAAAUCAGGACUGUUACUUUGAAAAAUUGAGUGUUUAAAGCAGGCUCACGCUUGAAUACAUUAGCAUGGAAUAAUGAAAUAGGACGUUUGAUUCUAUUUUGUUGGUUUCUAGGAUCGACGUAAUGAUUAAUAGGGAUAGUUGGGGGCAUUAGUAUUCAAUUGUCAGAGGUGAAAUUCUUGGAUUUAUUGAAGACUAACUACUGCGAAAGCAUUUGCCAAGGAUGUUUUCAUUAAUCAAAGAACGAAAGUUAGGGGAUCGAAGACGAUCAGAUACCGUCGUAGUCUUAACCAUAAACUAUGCCGACUAGGGAUCGGAUGAUGUUAAUUUUUAAUGACUCAUUC